AUUAAACGCUGGCGGCAUGCCUUACACAUGCAAGUCGAACGGCAGCACGGGGGCAACCCUGGUGGCGAGUGGCGAACGGGUGAGUAACGCAUCGGAACGUGCCCUGGAGUGGGGGAUAACGUAGCGAAAGUUACGCUAAUACCGCAUAUUCUGUGAGCAGGAAAGCAGGGGAUCGCAAGACCUUGCGCUCUGGGAGCGGCCGAUGUCGGAUUAGCUAGUUGGUGGGGUAAAGGCCUACCAAGGCGACGAUCCGUAGCGGGUCUGAGAGGAUGAUCCGCCACACUGGGACUGAGACACGGCCCAGACUCCUACGGGAGGCAGCAGUGGGGAAUUUUGGACAAUGGGCGCAAGCCUGAUCCAGCCAUGCCGCGUGAGUGAAGAAGGCCUCGGGUUGUAAG
rnacentral:rRNA from 1 species